rnacentral:rRNA from 1 species
GACGAACGCUGGCGGCGCGCCUAACACAUGCAAGUCGAACGAGCGAGAGGAGGUUUACUUUCUCAAGCGAGUGGCGAACGGGUGAGUAACGCGUGAGGAACCUGCCUCAAAGAGGGGGACAACAGUUGGAAACGACUGCUAAUACCGCAUAAGCCCACGACCCGGCAUCGGGUAGAGGGAAAAGGAGCAAUCCGCUUUGAGAUGGCCUCGCGUCCGAUUAGCUAGUUGGUGAGGUAAUGGCCCACCAAGGCGACGAUCGGUAGCCGGACUGAGAGGUUGAACGGCCACAGUGGGACUGAGACACGGCCCAGACUCCUACGGGAGGCGGCAGUGGGGAAUAUUGCACAAUGGGGGAAACCCUGAUGCAGCGACGCCGCGUGGAGGAAGAAGGUCUUCGGAUUGUAAACUCCUGUUGUUGAGGAAGAUAAUGACGGUACUCAACAAGGAAGUGACGGCUAACUACGUG